rnacentral:rRNA from 1 species
UACGUAGGGACCAAGCGUUGUUCGGAUUUACUGGGCGUAAAGGGCGCGUAGGCGGCGUGGUAAGUCACUUGUGAAAUCUCUGAGCUUAACUCAGAACGGCCAAGUGAUACUGCUGUGCUAGAGUGCAGAAGGGGCAAUCGGAAUUCUUGGUGUAGCGGUGAAAUGCGUAGAUAUCAAGAGGAACACCUGGAGGUGAAGACGGGUUGCUGGGCUGACACUGACGCUGAUGCGCGAAGCCAGGGGAGCAAACGGG